GCGUCGGUUGGUGUAACGGUUAGCAUACGCUCCGGAAAAGAGUGAGAUUCGGGUUCGAGUCCCGGCUGAUGCA